rnacentral:rRNA from 1 species
CCUACGGGAGGCAGCAGUGGGGAAUCUUGCGCAAUGGGCGAAAGCCUGACGCAGCCAUGCCGCGUGAAUGAUGAAGGUCUUAGGAUUGUAAAAUUCUUUCACCGAGGACGAUAAUGACGGUACUCGGAGAAGAAGCCCCGGCUAACUUCGUGCCAGCAGCCGCGGUAAUACGAAGGGGGCUAGCGUUGCUCGGAAUUACUGGGCGUAAAGGGAGCGUAGGCGGAUAGUUUAGUCAGAGGUGAAAGCCCAGGGCUCAACCUUGGAAUUGCCUUUGAUACUGGCUAUCUUGAGUACGGAAGAGGUAUGUGGAACUCCGAGUGUAGAGGUGAAAUUCGUAGAUAUUCGGAAGAACACCAGUGGCGAAGGCGACAUACUGGUCCGUUACUGACGCUGAGGCUCGAAAGCGUGGGGAGCAAACAGGAUUAGAUACCCUGGUAGUCCACGCUGUAAACGAUGAGUGCUAGUUGUCGGCAUGCAUGCAUGUCGGUGACGCAGCUAACGCAUUAAGCACUCCGCCUGGGGAGUCGGUCGCAAGAUUAAAACGUCAAAAGUAGUAAGUUAGACCGGAGAGAGACGACGACGACGACGACGACGGAGGAGGAGG